CUCUUCCUUGUUAAAGCCUCACAGCUAUGGGCUCACUGAUGUCUCUAGCGGCAGAGACCAGCAGGUCCCAGCAGGACCCAGCAGGACCCAGCAGGACCCAGCAGGACCCAGCAGGACCCAGCAGGACCCAGCAGGACCCAGCAGGACCCAGCAGGACCCAGCGCUCAGGGCAAGCCACAAGAUUCACAGGAAGCUGUGUUUACCCUGGAACAUAGAACAUGGAAGGAACAUGGGGAAGAGCAGUACCAUUGGCCAAUUUCACUUGACCUACCAAGAUCACACAAGCUGCAUUUCAAACUCUGAAGUAUAGUUCUACUUAAAGUGUCACCUUGGAGAUAAAUUAUCCUCUGGAAGAAAGCUGGCUGGCCUGCCCAGUUCCAAAGCAAAGGAAAUGAGAAUCUCAAGUGCUGUGUCUUGCACCAUGAGUUCUGGUUGUAGAUUACAUACCUUCAACCUGACAAGCAAUGGUACCAGCUAUAUGACUGCCUUUCUACUAACUCUCUUUCUAUCACUUUGUAACUAGAGGAAGGAACUAUUCUACAGUGCCCUUCUUCUAAUUAUUUGUAGUUUAGUUUUUGUAUAAGUAUGUAUUAUAUGCGGAUUCUCUCUUUUCCUACCUCUACUCCCCCAUUAAUCCCAUUUGUAUGCUAGACAUUUUUAUUUCCACCUUCAUAGCAUAUGCAUGUACCUGAUAUUUUG
rnacentral:lncRNA from 1 species